UUUUUUUUUUUUGACAAAGUGUUCUCAAUUCAAAAAUUGGCCUUUCCUAUGUUAAAAAUUUAUUAGUCUUGAGAAGGCUUUUAGAAACACAGGAAAAACUGAUGAAACCUGUAAAAGUCUUAUGGGUAAGAUAAAGCUUUGUUGGCAGCUAAAAUUUAGUUGUUAUGGUGUUGUCAAAGGUGGUAGGGUGGCUUAGUAGGGGUUGUCUGAGGUGGUAGGGUGGCUAGGCACUGGUGAAGGCCCAUCGAUGCCAAUACAAAGGUGUAAGGUAGUUUGGUCUAGGUGGUGUUGUGUAAGGCACCAAGCUAUAGUUUUUUUUUUCCUUUUUUGUGUUAAUUUUUAAUUGAAAAGAAAAAGUUUUGAAUUUGGCUCUUUUCAAUUUGGUUUAUGAGCCUUCAAGCCCAAAUGGCCUAUUUUAAACUUUUAAUCUCGAAUGACCUAUGUAAUAGGCCCGUAUGGUCAAAUCCAAUCAUGGCUUAAACGGUUUAAAAUGGACUCAAAUCGAACAUAAAAAUUGUAAUUGAUUUUAAUUAACUCAGGCAAAAUUAAGUGUUUACAAUAAACUACAUACUUUUUUCAAAGCCAGAUCUUAAUGUAGAAAGGCAGUCUUGACUUCGGCCUUGAGCUUGAAGCGGAUCAAUUCCUUUGUAUCGAGGGACUGGCGAUUGUGGUGUCUUCGCAUCCCCGUAGCGGUGAAGCUCUCUCUUGUUCUGGUUGAAAGUGAAGGCGAAGGAGAGUGAAGUGAAUCGGUCCCGUCUACAGAGCAUGCCACUAUGCUUGACACAUGCAAUUGCUUUCUUGAACCGACUUUUACGAAAAUCUUUGUUCCUCUUCAAUAAUCAUUUGCAUAAAUAAUUAAAACCCAAUAAUCAAU
rnacentral:lncRNA from 1 species